GACGAACGCUGGCGGCGUGCCUAAUACAUGCAAGUCGAGCGGACUGAAUGGGAGCUUGCUCUUGUUCGGUCAGCGGCGGACGGGUGAGUAACACGUGGGCAACCUGCCCACAAGACCGGGAUAACUCCGGGAAACCGGAGCUAAUACCGGAUAACACCGAAGACCGCAUGGUCUUUGGUUGAAAGGCGGCGCAAGCUGCCACUUGCGGAUGGGCCCGCGGCGCAUUAGCUAGUUGGUGAGGUAACGGCUCACCAAGGCGACGAUGCGUAGCCGGCCUGAGAGGGUGACCGGCCACACUGGGACUGAGACACGGCCCAGACUCCUACGGGAGGCAGCAGUAGGGAAUCUUCCGCAAUAGGCGAAAGCCUGACGGAGCGACGCCGCGUGAGCGAAGAAGGCCUUCGGGUCGUAAAGCUCUGUUGUGAGGGACGAAGGAGCGCCGUUUGAAGAAGGCGGCGCGGUGACGGUACCUCACGAGGAAGCCCCGGCUAACUACGUG
rnacentral:rRNA from 1 species